rnacentral:rRNA from 1 species
GAUGAACGCUGGCGGCGUGCCUAAUACAUGCAAGUCGAGCGAACGGACGAGAAGCUUGCUUCUCUGAUGUUAGCGGCGGACGGGGGAGUAACACGUGGAUAACCUACCUAUAAGACUGGGAUAACUUCGGGAAACCGGAGCUAAUACCGGAUAAUAUUUUGAACCGCAUGGUUAAAAAGUGAAAGACGGUCUUGCUGUCACUUAUAGAUGGAUCCGCGCUGCAUUAGCUAGUUGGUAAGGUAACGGCUUACCAAGGCAACGAUGCAUAGCCGACCUGAGAGGGUGAUCGGCCACACUGGAACUGAGACACGGUCCAGACUCCUACGGGAGGCAGCAGUAGGGAAUCUUCCGCAAUGGGCGAAAGCCUGACGGAGCAACGCCGCGUGAGUGAUGAAGGUCUUCGGAUCGUAAAACUCUGUUAUUAGGGAAGAACAUAUGUGUAAGUAACUGUGCACAUCUUGACGGUACCUAAUCAGAAAGCCACGGCUAACUACGUG